AACGAACGCUGGCGGCAUGCCUAACACAUGCAAGUCGAACGAGACCUUCGGGUCUUGUGGCGCACGGGUGCGUAACGCGUGGGAACCUGCCCUUAGGUUCGGAAUAACUCCCCGAAAGGGGUGCUAAUACCGGAUAAUGUCUUCGGCCCAAAGAUUUAUCGCUUUUGGAUGGGCCCGCGUUGAAUUAGCUAGUUGGUAGGGUAAAGGCCUACCAAGGCGACGAUCAAUAGCUGGUCUGAGAGGAUGAUCAGCCACACUGGGACUGAGACACGGCCCAGACUCCUACGGGAGGCAGCAGUGGGGAAUAUUGGACAAUGGGCGAAAGCCUGAUCCAGCAAUGCCGCGUGAGUGAUGAAGGCCUUAGGGUUGUAAAGCUCUUUUGCCCGGGAUGAUAAUGACAGUACCGGGAGAAUAAGCGCCGGCUAACUCCGUG
rnacentral:rRNA from 1 species